rnacentral:lncRNA from 1 species
UUAUUAACUUUUAUUUUGUGCAUUUUGCCAUCUGUGUUUCUUGCUAAGCUUCUCGUGUUCUUAAAUGCAGAUCCAGUAGUUUAGCUGAUUUUGUACUGAAGCAACUCUGAUGGAGCAAAACCUAAGUUUUCAAAGCAGACUUGCCAAAUUUGCCAAUACUGAUCUGGAAGUCAAAUACCCAGGUGUUUUGAAGAGUGAAAAUGCUGGAAAAGCAGGGUGACAGGAUGAGAAUUCCCCUGGCUUUGCUGUGGCAGCUGCUGCCCGGGCUGCACACCCAGCUGAGGAAGCAGACCAGGAAAGGGUGCUCAGAGUAGUUCCUGCAGCUGAAGAAAGAGCCUACACCAAACCCAGGACUUGCCUGUGGGUCACCACACUGCUUUUGGAGGAGAUUUUUAAGGAGUUGUGAGACUUCGGACUCAAAGCAUUAUAUCAUGGUGAAAAAAGGUAUUGCAGGCAAAACUUCUCAUCAGACAACCAGAAUUUGCAGUUUCCAUCUGCCCCAAGCUGAACUUUGGGCUAGAGGAGUAGCUGCAGGCUGCUGAUGUCCUAAGAAGCACAGGGUUUGGGGUCUAUCUGUGCCGCAGCACCAAGAGUUCAUUUAUCUCUCUCUGGUAAGUACAUGCAAUGUGGACUCACAUGUAGCUUUUAUGUAAUCUUCCUUUAGGGG